CUGCCCCGGGUGGGACGUCAUCAACGUCGGUGAUAAGAAGAAGAGGUAGAGGAGAUAGCAGAGGUUUACGGUCGGAGCGGUGCAGUAGGGGGCCCGGCCUCGCGGCGGCGGCGGCGAGGUUAGAGCCACGGCAGGUACCUCUUACACUCCGGCGGCCCGGAGGCGAGGCGACGACUGGCGGCGCAUUAGCGGGCAACGCGGGCGAUUAGAAGAGCACGCGGGGCCACCGCGCCGGCCGGGAGGCGGCGUCGUCGACCCGCGCAGCCGGGAAGUCCGCCGACGAGGGGGACCCCGACGUGCGGCAGCCGGAUAAGCGAGAGGCGGAAGUCGAGGAGGGCGUCCCUGCGUCGGUGUUAGAGGGUGCCCCUCGCGAUACGGACGACGUGAGACCGUACGGUCGCAAAGUUGUCGGGGUACGGUGACAGAGGGUACUGGGUACCCCUGUGGAAAGAGGAUAUCAUUGGUCGACGUAUAGGGUAAUGUCCCGGAAGCUAAGCUACCCGUGUGAGGUCUCAGGUCUCGAACCACCUCCUGAAGGUCAGAGACGGUCAAUCAAAGACUCGGACCUAGCGAACUACUAUAUCUUCCAGACGGUGCAGGUAAUCUACCACUACUCCUCGGACGAUGACUUAACGGUGGGCUCAAUCAAGGCCGGUUGUUCGGUGUGAUGACAACCCCUCCUUCACGGUGAACAGUUGAAACCCAGCCGACCACAUUAGGCGACAGCUUCUACGUCCUGUAUAUAUAAUGGGAAUACGUUGUAAACGACUACGACCUUCCUUUACCGCGACGUUAGAAACGUGUAACGAGUUACUACACCGUCUCCUAAACUAUGUCUAGUUUCCGGUCUUGAAAGAUUCCCGUGUCACCUCAAACAACGAGGAUGACUUAUAUACCAAACCGGUGGUUACGACGGAAGACUGAAGACCCCCAUACAAGAUGUCAUAGACGUCAUACUUCACUCGACGAGCUCCAUCAACGUUUCUGGUAGUUUAGUACGGAACUACUAGAAGAUCCGAAAGGUGCUUGUUUUUAACUUAAGAAUUGGAAACCGUCGUGUAAUGUGAAGGUGUUGAAAUUCAAAAGAAACUCAGUUGGAGUUUACUACCACCAACGGCUAAACGUGCUACACAAGAACGGUAACGGACUGCUAGAGAACCAUUUAAACCAGCUAAAAUCUGUACAACAGCUCAGGAAAGAACUAUCGAACGGCUUUGUACGAAGUCCUGUUGUAUUUACAUCUUAGAGAACCAUAACCGACUAAUUCUGAAGCUACUCUACUACAGCCGCGUAUACCAUGUCUGUUCCUCGUAUAAGACUCCUAUGGUCUUCUAGGGAAGAUAUCUGUCUACCGACGGCUCAAGUACUUUUUAGUCCAACGUCACCUGUAUAAAAGAAACGAGAAGGAAUGACACUAUACAUAAUUAUACAUCCAAGAGAACUGCUUUCUAUGACACCAGUCCACAUGGUAAUAGGUGGGAAGUUCCGUUGAUUUGUGCCCCUCUUUGAAUUUGUACUCGAAUUAGCCCUCUGACGGAGUCUUAGACAGUACGCAUAGUCUACACCUUUUCCCACGCAAAGUGUUGUAUAGUACCAGUAAAGUACGGACAGUUGUCUAAACAAUCGAGAAGGUCGACAACUGACAUUACUUCGAAAACGCCACAUUGACAGAGAUCUCCUCUGGGAUUACUGGUGCGUCUGACACAUAUGAAAGUUCACCGCAACGAUAUAUGUAGUAGAAGACCACUUACUACAUAGUCCCACCUAUGUCGACGACGUGGACACCAGUGUCUAGAACCACUUUACAUAGUAGUUCGUCUAUGACCACGGUAACACAGUCACAACCGAUCUUAGCGACAACUUUUGAGUGACAGACUAUUCGAUCUGUCACAAGCUGUUGUUAAUGUCAAUUUCGAACACUUUUCAGACUUCCUUAUGGCCUUAGACAUAUAACAUGUUGUAGCCUAUCCUCCCUCUGACUAUAUAGGUCUUAGUAAUUCUAUGAACGGUAAUAUGUAGGACCGAGAUACGUUUAGGGAACGAGACACACCACCAAUACGACUGCAGAGAGAACUACUUGUAACACGGCGACCAAAGUCAUACUACUAUGACGGACGUUCUUCCGACGAGUUAAAAUAAAUAGGUAGAGACAUGUCCGAACUACUUCAUAACCGUCACCUUGGUCUAUACUAACUACCCCGGGACUUCGCCAACGGUAAUUGGAACGUCACGGAUCUGUGACGACCAAAUAUAGAAGAACUACUACCGAAGUGGAAGGAUCAUACCAACCCAUCCUACGAGGUUGGACUCGAGUACUUGCUGUAAGAACCUCAGUCGGAGAGUUUGAAGGGACUAGAUAGUUUCUAAGUCAACUCUCUUACACUGUUGUUAGUGAGUUCUUUGAAGUACCGUCAUGAUUCUCGGGAUUCCCUCUCCCUAAGAAGUACAAUGGUCGACGGGGCACACCAUGCCGUUCCGCUCGUCGGUUCUCUUCCAAAGGAUGAAGACAGGUUGGAGCAGCUCCUAGUCUACUGUCCUUGUUCGUCAAUGUACCUGACCUAUGAGGUUUAAGUGGCGGUUUACGCCUCGAGCCCUACUACAUGCCACCUACAAGGUCCUUAAAAACAAAAACACAUUUAACGACGUCUAAGCCGACGACACGGUCAGGGGCCAGCGGGAGAAUUGGUAACCUUGUUUUACCGCUCGGUCGGCACGAGAUGGUAUACGGUAGGACAAUCGUCGUUGCAAGAACGACAGCCGCUCGUUACGUUUGAAAUAACAAUUAUAAGGCAAGAACACUAAUAAAAAGCACUGCUCUUUUCCUAUGUGUCGACAACAUGGUCUUUUCAUCCGUCGUGGAAACCAUUUAACAUUUCGCAAGCCUCAGAAACUAUCCCCAAACAUGCGUAAACAUAGCAGCUGUUAAAAUCAACCUUUCAACACACUUGAGAACAAACUCACAACCAUAACUAGACCUACGUUACCCUUCGUGGAAAGAC
rnacentral:rRNA from 1 species